rnacentral:lncRNA from 1 species
GGCACUGCUUCACCCAGCAUUCCAGAUGCAAAUGCGGAGAAUGGAGAGCCUGCAAGCAACUGGAUGGCUGUAGUUUGGAAAUAAAUAGCCCUGGAGCCGGGAUGCUCCUAAAGGAAGCCUGUAUGCGCUCAACUUGGUGGAUGCUGAAGUGCUGGGAGUCCUGAACAGGUGGCUGAAAGAGCAGCUUGGUCUCCCAACCUUGAUGCCUCAAGAAGGUACACAGAAAAUGGCCGUCAGCAUCCUUACAGAGUCACUAAGAAGACAAAAUUGGAGCAUCAAAGCCAUCCAGGAAGUGAAAAUACUCCAACCUGGGUCACACACAGAAAGCAGGAGAAAACUUUAACAUGUAUCCUGGCUGAAUCAGUGUCUAAAAGCAGCAUUUGAAAAUAUGAAACAAAAACUUUAAAUCAUUAGUUGCAAAGCUCAGAACAAAAAUAUCCCACAACAUCCUUAUAUACUCAAGAAAAAUGUGCAAUAAGAAUUGAAUAAACUCUGGAAAGCAAUAGAAGGAAAAAAUAAAUAAGAUAAAUAAAAAUAAAUGCUAUCUUAGUACCCAAAAGACCCCAAAUAUUAUUGGAUAUGAGGAGCAUGAGAGAGGUUAACAGAAUGGAGAUAAAGCAAAGGUGGGAACAAAAGUCAUAUGGAGACCACGUGCUAGACAUCAGUCCCAGAAGUGUCUAAAGCAGAAAACACACAAUGAGAAAUAACACGUACCUAAAACUACAGGCUACAGUGAAUUUCUAUCAGGAAAUGAGGAUCUGAAGCCCCAUCUUUAAGGAUUCACAGUACACUUUAAAAAAAAAAAAGCCUGGCAUGGUGAUGCCCAAGACUGGACUAGGAAAUACUAAAAGAGAAACGACAACAGAAACCCAGAUCUCCAUGGGGGGAAAAAAAAGGACCAAAUGUGCUGCAGGGGAAAGAAAAUGAAGCUUCUUCAUAGUGCAUCCCAAAACAAAAGGAAACGAGGAUAUAAGGAG